AUUGAACGCUGGCGGCAUGCCUUACACAUGCAAGUCGAACGGUAACAGGUCUUCGGAUGCUGACGAGUGGCGAACGGGUGAGUAAUACAUCGGAACGUGCCUAGUAGUGGGGGAUAACUACUCGAAAGAGUGGCUAAUACCGCAUGAGAUCUACGGAUGAAAGCAGGGGAUCGCAAGACCUUGUGCUACUAGAGCGGCCGAUGGCAGAUUAGGUAGUUGGUGGGAUAAGAGCUUACCAAGCCGACGAUCUGUAGCUGGUCUGAGAGGACGAUCAGCCACACUGGGACUGAGACACGGCCCAGACUCCUACGGGAGGCAGCAGUGGGGAAUUUUGGACAAUGGGCGCAAGCCUGAUCCAGCAAUGCCGCGUGCAGGAUGAAGGCCUUCGGGUUGUAAACUGCUUUUGUACGGAACGAAAAGCCCCGGGUUAAUACCCUGGGGUCAUGACGGUACCGUAAGAAUAAGCACCGGCUAACUACGUGCCAGCAGCCGUCGUAA
rnacentral:rRNA from 1 species